GGUUCUGGAGCACUGGGCAGUAGUAUUGCAGAGGGUUUGAUCCGGCUCAGAUUGGAACGCUGGCGGAGUUUUUGCACAUGCAAGUCGAACGGCAGCACGGACUUCGGUCUGGUGGCGAGUGGCGAACGGGUGAGUAAUGUAUCGGAACGUGCCUAGUAGCGGGGAUAACUACGCGAAAGCGUAGUUAAUACCGCAUGGGUCUCUUCGGGGGAGCGGGGACCUUUCGGGCCUCGCACUAUUAGAGCGUGGCCGAUAUCGGAUUAGCCAGUUGGUGGGUAACGGUCACCAAGGCGACGAUCCGUAGCUGGUUUGAGAGGACGACCAGCCACAAUUGGGACUGAGACACGCCCAGACUCCUACGGCAAGCAGCAGUGGGGAAUUUUGGACAAUGGGGAAACCCUGAUCCAGCCAUCCCGCGUAAAAGCGAUGAAGGCCUUCGCUGUAAAGCACUUUUUGGCAGGAAAAAGAAACGGCACGAUAAUACCCCGUGCAACUGACGGUACCUGCAGAAUAAGCACCGGCCAACUACGCCAGCAGCCGCGGUAAUACGUAGGGGUGCAAGCGUUAAUCGGAAUUACUGGGCGUAAAGCGUGCGCAGGCGGUUCGGAAAGAAAGAUGUGAAUCCCAGAGCUUAACUUUGAACUACAUUUUUAACUACCGAGCUAGAGUGUGUCAGAUGGGAGUGUGGAAUUCCGCGUGUAGCAGUGAAUGAAGAUAUGGAGGAACACCGAUGGCGAAGGUACUUCCGGGAUAACAUCUGACGUCGCAAUAAAAGCGUGGGGAGCAAACAGGAUUAGAUACCCCAGUCCACGCCCUAAACGAUGUCAACUAGCUGUUGGGGUUUUCUGGCCUUGGUAGUAGCUAACGCGUGAAGUUGACCGCCCGUGGAUGCUGUCGUUAUCGCAAAUCAGCAAUUUAAUGGGACCCACAAUGUGGAUGAUGUGGAUUAAUUCGAUGCGUAACGCGAAAACCUUACCUUACCCUUGACAUGUCUGGAACCCGAAGAUUUGGGAGUGCUCGCGAGAACCGGGGAACACAGGUGCUGUAGGCUAUUGUCGUCAGCUCGCAAGUCAGAGAUGUUGGGUUAAGUCCUGCAUCGAGUAACUCCUUGUCAUUAGUUGCUACGAAAAGGCACUUCAUCGAGACUGUUGGUGACAAACCGGAGGAAGGGUGACGACGUACCAAGUCCCUGUAUGGUUCUGCAGGGUAGGGCUUCACACGUCAUACAAUGGUCGGGACAGAGGGUCAACCCGCGAGGGGGAGCUAAUCCCAGAAACCCGAUCGUAAUGGAUCGCAGUUCGCAACCUUCGACUGCGUGAAGUCGGAAUCGCUAGUAAUCGCGGAUCAGCAUGUCGCGGUGAAUACGUUCCCGGCCCGCACACACCCGCCUAUCGCCAAUUACGGGAGGUUUUACCAGAAGUAGUUAGCCUAACCGUAAGGAGGGCGAUUACCACGGUAGGAUUCAUGACUGGGGUGAAGUCAAACAAGGUAA
rnacentral:rRNA from 1 species